CAGCCGCCACGGGAAUACAGAGGAUGCAAGCGUUGUCCGGAUUUAUUGGGCGUAAAGCGCGUCUAGGUGGUUAUGUAAGUCUGAUGUGAAAAUGCAGGGCUCAACUCUGUAUUGCGUUGGAAACUGUGUAACUAGAGUACUGGAGAGGUAAGCGGAACUACAAGUGUAGAGGUGAAAUUCGUAGAUAUUUGUAGGAAUGCCGAUGGGGAAGCCAGCUUACUGGACAGAUACUGACGCUGAAGCGCGAAAACGUGGGUAGCAAACAGGAUUAGAGACCCGCUAGUCCCUGUCUCUUAUACAC
rnacentral:rRNA from 1 species